rnacentral:rRNA from 1 species
UGAGGAACAUGACCUUCGGCGGGGGAUAGCAGGCCCAACUGCCGGGUAAUACCGCGUACGACCUUUCGGGGACAUCCCUGGAUGGU